rnacentral:rRNA from 5 species
UUUCCGUAGGUGACCUGCGGAAGGAUCAUUA